GGCGAACGCUGGCGGCGUGCCUAAUACAUGCAAGUCGAACGCACAGUUUAUACCGUAGCUUGCUACACCAUAGACUGUGAGUUGCGAACGGGUGAGUAACGCGUAGGUAACCUGCCUGGUAGCGGGGGAUAACUAUUGGAAACGAUAGCUAAUACCGCAUAAUAUUAAUUAUUGCAUGAUAAUUAAUUGAAAGGUGCAAUUGCACCACUACCAGAUGGACCUGCGUUGUAUUAGCUAGUAGGUGAGGUAACGGCUCACCUAGGCGACGAUACAUAGCCGACCUGAGAGGGUGAUCGGCCACACUGGGACUGAGACACGGCCCAGACUCCUACGGGAGGCAGCAGUAGGGAAUCUUCGGCAAUGGACGAAAGUCUGACCGAGCAACGCCGCGUGAGUGAAGAAGGUUUUCGGAUCGUAAAGCUCUGUUGUAAGAGAAGAACGGGUGUGAGAGUGGAAAGUUCACACUGUGACGGUAUCUUACCAGAAAGGGACGGCUAACUACGUG
rnacentral:rRNA from 1 species